rnacentral:lncRNA from 1 species
CCUAUGCCAGAGAGAUUUAGCUCUGUCAAAAAAGAGCUUAUUGGAUACUCCCAACAGGACAGACUGUUCACCUGCGAGCUCUGGACACGUGUCAAAAGUCAUCCGGAGGAUCGUGACUUGUUGAACCUGGACCCUGAUGCUGCACCUGACGGCCUCCAGCAUUUGAGGGACGACUGACUCACGAGGCAUUACAUCUUUUCUGAGGCCAUUUUCCUGAUUUGCUUUCCUUUCUCCUUCAGCUCAGAAUGUGCUGAGGAAAGACACCACAGUUUUUGCAUUACAUGCUCGGUGUGGAUAGCACUAAUAAUGACUUAUGAUAUUUGAUUUUUUUUUUUUAUCUAAACCUGAAAUCAUGUGAUCUUAUUUUGGGAUACCAUAAUUUCUCUGUGAGCACCGGCUUGCAGAGUUCUACCCUAGAUCCACCAUCAGACCUCCGCAGCAUGUCGUCCCUCCAUGCCUGUUGGAAUCCAAGUCUGAAGCGGACCAGCAGUACCACAGUAUUACCUGGAGUUUUUUGAAAACUAGGAAAAUAGUGUGUGACUGUGCGUCAAAAGAAACACGCUUGAUUAAUCCAGAAUGGAUUAUACCUCUGAGGAAAGCUUAAUAGCUGGUAUUUCCACAGCUAUACUAGGACUCAAAUUCGACUGUGUGCCUUUUAACAUAACCGCCAUAUGGAUCUGAGCUUUUCUAAUCUGAUGGCACCAGAUAUGGUGUCACCCUUCUGAAUAUUCAGUAUUGGAAAUAGAGAAUGUGAAACAAACUCUAUUGGGCACUUGUAUUUAUUGGGGCAUGGAGAAGCCCACUUACCUUUCAGCUGAUGUUUUUCUAUUACCUCCAUAUUGGACAAAUUUGAAUCCUGUUCCUUUUCCUGUUUUGUGCAACUGUGAAGCACUUCCUUCCUGAGCAUAGUGACCCCCAUAGUGUUGGAGGUGUGAAUCGAUCUUAGAUGUCUAAGGGCUGCUCUCUGGUGGAUUAAGACCGACUUCGGUAUCAACAUUGCAGUUGAAGGUCUCCAAGGAAACAACAACUUCAGCUGUUAAACCUCAGGAUGUUUUAAUCGAUUCAAUUCUUCAACAUAAUUGUAGUCAAGAGUUUGGAGGACAAGGCAGGAGAGGUUUUGUGGGGC